rnacentral:rRNA from 1 species
UCGAGCGGUAGAGAGAAGCUUGCUUCUCUUGAGAGCGGCGGACGGGUGAGUAAUGCCUAGGAAUCUGCCUGGUAGUGGGGGAUAACGUUCGGAAACGGACGCUAAUACCGCAUACGUCCUACGGGAGAAAGCAGGGGACCUUCGGGCCUUGCGCUAUCAGAUGAGCCUAGGUCGGAUUAGCUAGUUGGUGGGGUAAUGGCUCACCAAGGCGACGAUCCGUAACUGGUCUGAGAGGAUGAUCAGUCACACUGGAACUGAGACACGGUCCAGACUCCUACGGGAGGCAGCAGUGGGGAAUAUUGGACAAUGGGCGAAAGCCUGAUCCAGCCAUGCCGCGUGUGUGAAGAAGGUCUUCGGAUUGUAAAGCACUUUAAGUUGGGAGGAAGGGCCAUUACCUAAUACGUGAUGGUUUUGACGUUACCGACAGAAUAAGCACCGGCUAACUCUGUGCCAGCAGCCGCGGUAAUACAGAGGGUGCAAGCGUUAAUCGGAAUUACUGGGCGUUAAGCGCGCGUAGGUGGUUUGUUAAGUUGGAUGUGAAAUCCCCGGGCUCAACCUGGGGAACUGCAUUCAAAACUGACUGACUUAAAGUAUGGUAGAGGGUGGUGGAAUUUCCUGUGUAGCGGUGAAAUGCGUAGAUUUAGGAAGGAACCCCAGUGGCGAAGGCGAACACCUGGACUGG